UGGGAUGUAGCCAAGCGGUAAGGCAGCGGAUUUUGAUUCCGCCAUGCGGAGGUUCGAAUCCUCCCAUCCCAG
rnacentral:tRNA from 1 species